GAUGAAGAACGUAGCGAAAUGCGAUAAGUAAUGUGAAUUGCAGAAUUCAGUGAAUCAUCGAGUCUUUGAACGCACAUUGCGCCCCCUGGUAUUCCGGGGGGCAUGCCUGUCCGAGCGUCAUUGCUGCCCUCAAGCACGGCUUGUGUGUUGGGCCCCCGCCCCCCGGCUUCGGGGGGCGGGCCCGAAAGGCAGCGGCGGCACCGCGUCCGGUCCUCGAGCGUAUGGGGCUUCGUCACCCGCUCUGUAGGCCCGGCCGGCGCCCGCCGGCGACCCCAAUCGAUCUUUCCAGGUUGACCUCAGAUCAGGUAGGGAUACCCGCUGAACUUAAGCAUAUCAAUAAGCGGAGGA
rnacentral:misc_RNA from 1 species